GUUUGUUUGGAGUUAUAAAAAAUUUAACCUGCCCCCUGAUUAAUUAUUUAAAGGGCCGCAGUAUUAUAACUGUGCAAAGGUAGCAUAAUCAUUAGGUUUUUAAUUGAAAUCUCGUAUGAAUGGUUGGACAAAAGAAGAACUCUCUUUAUGUUAAGUUUUGAAUUUAACUUUUAAGUGAAAAGGCUUAAAUAUUCUAAAGGGACGAUAAGACCCUAUAAAACUUUACAUUGUUAUUAAUUUUGAUUGAAUUUAUGAAAUAAGAAUUUUAUUUGAUUAUUUGUUAUGUUGGGGAGACAUAAGUAAAAAUUUUUUAACUGCUUUGACAAUUAUACAAUUAUUAGUGAAUAAGUAAAAGAUCCUUUUUUAAGAUUAGUAGAUUAAGUUACUUUAGGGAUAACAGUGUAAUUUCUUUUGAGAGUUCUUAUCGAAAAAGAAGAUUGCGACCUCGAUGUUGAAUUAAAAUAUCUAUAUAGUGGAGAAAUUAUAUGAGAAGGUCUGUUCGACCUUGAAAAUUUUACAUGAUUUGAGUUCAAACCGGUGUAAG
rnacentral:rRNA from 1 species